rnacentral:rRNA from 1 species
UACGUAGGGUGCGAGCGUUAAUCGGAAUUACUGGGCGUAAAGCGUGCGUAGACGGUAGCGUAAGUCGGGUGUGAAAGCCCCGGGCUCAACCUGGGAAUUGCAUUCGAGACUGCUCUGCUAGGGUGCGGAAGAGGGAAGCGGAAUUUCCGGUGUAGCGGUGAAAUGCGUAGAUAUCGGGAAGGAACACCAGUGGCGAAAGCGGCUUCCUGGUCCAGCACCGACGUUCAGGCACGAAGCGUGGGGAGCAAACAGG